GGACCUAUAGCUCAGUUGGCUAGAGCGCCACGUUGACAUCGUGGAGGUCACUGGUUCGAGUCCAGCUAGGUCCA
rnacentral:tRNA from 1 species